rnacentral:lncRNA from 1 species
CUUCUCCAACAUUGUGAUGUCACUGAUAAGUUAUACACAUGUAUCAUAGCUGUAAAACUACAAUAAACAGAGCGAUUGCACAUGUUGAUAAUUUUCAGGUAAAGGGAAGCACUAUAUAAAGGACAAUUAUAAGGAUCACCAUCAACCUGGUCAAGUCAGAAUCCAAAAUAACGAUAUGUAGGAUCUUCAUAUUGUUCUGUUGAUCGAUACUAAAAAUCUGUGUAAAUAACUCUCAGUUGGCCCGUUUAGAUAUCAUUAACAAUAAAAGCAUAUGUUUGUUGUCCCUCUUCGUUUGUCUUUUCAUACAGUAAGAAAAAAUACGGGCAGCAUACAUGUACAUGUAUUUAGUUGCAUAACUUUAUGUGAUACACUUCAUACCUAUUACAAACUCUUUACUGUAAAAAGGAUACAUGUUAGAUCUAGAUCGAAUCCGUCGACUUUGUGCCGUCUCUUGUUUUUACUGACAAGACCUUUUAAAAAAUCCAUUUUCACAAAAACAGUUGAAACUUGAAAUCAAGAAAAAUUGUCAACAGGUCUUUCGACACAAUCAGCGAAUGUUAAUAUCCUUGUCACUGCAUUUUCUGAACAAAAAUAAAUUCAUUGAUGAUAACAAUACAUUAUUACAUGUAAACAAAACGACAAAAUUCAAUAAAUGACACAAAUUUCAGUUUACAUUUUGUAUGUCGCUAUUUCGCUAUGGCGGCU